AGCGUAUAUUAAAGUUGUUGCAGUUAAAAAGCUCGUAGUUGAAUUUCGGGGUCAGUAGGUCGGUCGUGCCACUGGUAUGAACUGGUUUUACUGAUUCCUCCCUCUUGAAGAACUGUAAUGCCAUUAAUUUGGUGUUGCAGGGAAUCAGGACUGUUACUUUGAAAAAAUUAGAGUGUUUAAAGCAGGCUUUAGCUUGAAUACAUUAGCAUGGAAUAAUGAAAUAGGACGUUUGAUCCUAUUUUGUUGGUUUCUAGGAUUGACGUAAUGAUUAAUAGGGAUAGUUGGGGGCAUUAGUAUUCAAUUGUCAGAGGUGAAAUUCUUGGAUUUAUUGAAGACUAACUACUGCGAAAGCAUUUGCCAAGGAUGUUUUCAUUAACCAAGAACGAAGGUUAGGGGAUCGAAGACGAUCAGAUACCGUCGUAGUCUUAACCAUAAACUAUGCCGACUAGGGAUCGGAUGAUGUUAAUUUUUUAAUGACUCAUUC
rnacentral:rRNA from 1 species